rnacentral:rRNA from 1 species
UACGUAGGUCCCGAGCGUUGUCCGGGUUUAUUGGGCGUAAAGCGAGCGCAGGUGGUUUAUUAAGUCUGGUGUAAAAGGCAGUGGCUCAACCAUUGUAUGCAUUGGAAACUGGUAGACUUGAGUGCAGGAGAGGAGAGUGGAAUUCCAUGUGUAGCGGUGAAAUGCGUAGAUAUAUGGAGGAACACCGGUGGCGAAAGCGGCUCUCUGGCCUGUAACUGACACUGAGGCUCGAAAGCGUGGGGAGCAAACAGG